rnacentral:lncRNA from 1 species
AAAUUGACAAACACCAAUUUUGAUCAUUGAGAAGCUUAAUAUUCCCUUUACAACACAACGUAAUUAAAACGUUUAGCUGACUUUACAGAGUUAUCUCCCUGUAGUUUUAGUAGGUACCACAUUAAGACUUGAAAAUUGUUCUACAUGUAAUGUGGAUUCAUUUAUUUUCGUGGACACCAAAUUCGUGAAUUCAGGAAAACUCUCCAAUUUUCAAGGAUACUUGAUUUUGUGGUUUUAAAAUAUUUGCAUACAAGCCUACAAGAAAUUGUUAAACACACAAAUCCAAGAUUUAUCUGUAUCAAUGAAACCAACAAAAAUUUGUAUCCAACAAAUAAUUAUAAAUCCACAGUUUAUGAAAGAAAAGAGCUUAGUAAGACUCUGGAAAAUAUUUUAUUCUCCUUCGGUUUUAGAAGAAUCCAUGAGAAAUACUUAAAUUUUGGGGUAUGCGAAUAGAUAUUGGUCAAUGGCUAUAAUAUUUGUUAAAAAUUUACACAAGGCUCUCAUGUAGGUUAUAGUGAUUACUUAACAUACUGUGAAUUUUAUAUUAUUUGUGGGAUACUUGAAGUUAUAAUGGAAUUUUGGAUCCACAAAUAUUAAAAAUUGAUGCUUGUAUGAAAAAUAUGUAAAAUUUCUGAAAAAGAGAAUUUAUCAUGUUUCUGAAAUUGUAAGUUUUUCUCAAUUCACAAAGAUUGGUACCCAAUAAAAUUAACAAAUCCACAUUAAAACAUGUUAAUGACUACUUGAUGUGUAAAUAAAAAUAAUAAAAAGAUCAUUGCAUACAUUGCAUUUUUUUGGAUACUUAUACUGCAGAUCUAUAUAAACAAAUUUUAUAUACAAGCCAGUUAAAAAUUAGAACUUUUGAUGAAUGCUAUAAUUUGUGAUUCUCUCGAUCCCACACAAUCCAUGAAAAUUAGUAGCCCACAAAUGAUAAUGAAUUUACAUUACCCCCAUCCCCCUUUCCCAUAUUUGUAUACAUCCAUCCAUUAGGCCAGGUUUUAUAUACCUCAUCUGUUCUAAUACUCUUUCUGCUUAUUUAUAGAUUUACGUACGCUUCCCAGUUUGUUUAUUUUAGUUGUUUUUGGAAUAAUUGUAACACUACAGCACACCGACAUGACAUCUUGAUAUUUAUGGUCAUUUUCACCUAAACAAAUUACAGGGUUUGUGAAAUUUAUAUAAAAAAAAAUUCCAAUAGACUAUGAAUAAAUUAAUUUGGACCUGAACAAGAUAAAUCCUAUUUUACCUACCAAGAUGACAUUGUAGAAAAAAACAUCUACCUCAGUAAGAACUGCAGCUUUUCUACAAAUCAUUCCCCAUUUUUGCUUUAUUAUUAGAUUACUGCUGUUGGUUUUUAGUAACUUCAUUUCAAAUAAUUCUUAAAACGAUCACAAAAAGCUACAAAAAACGUAAAAAAUCUUUCUUACGUUAGAUGUUUUGAUAACAAAUGUUUAAUAAAGAAUGGGGAAUCAUUGAACAUGUGAAAGGUUUAUUUAAUAUCUCAAAAGCCUUUACCCACUUGAUAUAACCAGAAAAUUAAAUUCUGUGCCAGCAGUUUUCAUUAUGGAUAUAAUAUUUCUUUGUUUACUAAAAUAU